AUGCCCAAACCUCUCCUCGUCAGCAACUCAGAGGAACCCUUGCGCCGCCACCGCCCCAUUCCCUCCGGCACACAGUCCCUCGCGGCAGCGUCCUCGGCCUUCCCCAUCAUCCAAGGUGGAACGGCGCCUCCGUCAUCAUCCAGCCACCAUCGCCGUCCUUUUGCCUUUCCCCUGACGGCCCGACUGGGAGGGGCUCGGCCCCGUUGUGGUGUGGAGCUACAUCCUCAGGCUUCUGGCGGACCAUGCAAUGGCGUUCAAAUAUUAAUUUCUUCGGUAUGGGAUUUAUGGGAGUUCUCAUCUAAUCUUUGA
rnacentral:rRNA from 1 species